rnacentral:lncRNA from 1 species
UAUUAAAAUAAAUCUGUUUGUUUGAAGGAAAAACGAGUUACAGUUUGACCAAGACAAUACUUUGUCAGAAGCCAUUCUUAGUUUAUUCAGUUGCUUGGAGUUGAUGUUCAAACCCACUAUGCUAUGGCCAUGUAGGUUGUGUAUCCAUAUUCCCUGGAAGUUACUGAGGUCCUAGUCAACAUCCUUGGAGUGUGUGCAUCUCUGGAGUUGUGCAGUACACAACCUGCUCACCUAUACAUAUCUACUUAGUAAUUUCAGAUGAGGUUGGGACCAGUAGGUACUCUUAAGUGCUGGUCACAGACUUAUCACUCUUGGAUAUUCUUUGUGUUUCUUCCCUAAUUCUUUUCUAAUUCUCCCUUUAUUUUCUUAUAUCUUUCACAAGUUCCUGAUCUACAUGAAUCUACUACAGAGACUUCUCAACGCUGCCUGUAAUAGGGUAAGAACCAAUGACUAGGGUUUCUAUGUCCUAUGAAAUUGAUAAAUCCAUGGAUUAGCUUUUAUAUCUAGUACAAAAACAAUCCAGUCCUAUUGUACUAUCUGGGCCAGGCUGCAGUCCCUCAGAAGGUUCACAUUCUCUGCAAAAGGAUCUGAAAUGAGCUGUUCCACUCUCCAAGUCACAGGAGCCAUACUGGGUCAUUGAAUCCUGCAUUCAUUAAUUGGUACUUCCCAAGUCCAAAACUUCCCCGUAGUUUUUCCUGCUGGAUACUGGUCCCAUGGGACAAUCUGGGGGAGAUAAUAAAGCAUUCCUCUCUGGGUUUGCUUGGGAAAUACUGUGUUGUCCACUUGGAGAUUUGCAAUGCACAGUAGUAUAUUAAAGGGUCUGAGAAAUCAUCCAAGAAAUACCUUUCUAAUACUAUUUAUCCCCAAACAUUUUUUUGGUUACUCCUGUUAAUGUGAAAAAUGUACCUUCAGAAAUGCUGGUCUACAGAAAACCAGGUCAACACACAGCCAUUCUCUCAGGAGGUAAGUGCACCCUCUGCCCUCCCUCUGAUUGGCAGGUGUUAGGAACCACCUGGAGAGCACAGCAAACCCACUGGAGGUUCCACUGUCUCUUCAGCUGUACGAUGAGUUGGGUUUGCAUGAGGUCUGCACACAGCGGAGGACAGGGGGGUCCAAGGGUCUAGAGAGAAGGCAUGGAGCAGAGGGCAAAGGGACACAGCAGAGGGACAGAGGGCCCAAGGAAAGCAGACCUGCCCCCACUCUUGUUUUAUGCAGCCCACUUUACAUACGAGGGAACUGAGGCCCGUAGAGUUUCAAUAACUUGUUCCAGUCCCACUACCAGUUUGGAGCACAGCUUUAACCCAAACCCAUAUUACCAACCACAAACCCCACCCUUUCCCCGGCUCCUUCCACUUGAUCACACUGUCAUUAAUGUUACCAUCGCCACAGAGCCAUCUUUGCACUGGAGUUGAGCAGACUGCAACCCACCCUCAUGUUCAAGUCCCAUCUCUCCCACGUUAGCAUGCAAUGUUGCCCAGGCUCCCAGUCCCUAGAAGCCUUCGUGUCUGUAGUGGAGAAAUAGCCAUCCCCACAAGAUUGUUUUUUUUUUUUUGAUGGAAUUAAAGGACCCAGUGUUGAGAAAAUAAUAAAUGCUCAAUAAAUAUUGCCAAUUGUUUUUAUUACAACAAUUUAUGGGUUAAUUCUCCUAUUUUACAAGUUUUACAGGCAAGGCCUGCUUAUUAACCGUCAGGCACUACUAGAGCCAAAUGUAAAAUAUCCAUCCCCUCCCUCUCCACUCCCAUAGAGCUGAAGGAUGGCUCGGGGAACUUCACGUGUGGAACAUGAAUCGCACACUCACCAAGUAGACCCUGACACCCGCAGCGGCUGUGUGGUGAGCACACAGAGAAAGAAUCGGGCACAGAUGUGGAAAAUAGAAAAUCCCCAAGUUUAUUUCUUUCCUCACUCUGCUCUGAAUACAGAAGCAUGCAGACGGGUGGAUUUUGCUGGGUCAAAUGCUUUCUUGCUGAUUCACUACUGUGGAUACAAUUGCUAGAGACAAAGGAUGUUUCCUGAGCUCCACGGCCCUUCUCUAGCUACUCAUCGGCUUCUAUGUUGACUGAUUUAAUAGCUUUGAUUCCCAGUCUCAGAAAUAACUUUGUGCCUGUGUUUCAUAGGAGUGGACUUAUUAGUACUUUCCUGAUGAGAUUGAUUGAAUUCUUUACCUGAAUUAGAAAACAAAGGAAAGUUAAAGUACAAUAUUCCCCAAAUAGUUCCAAUAUUUCUACCUUUGCGUUCUGUCUUUUGUCUUAACAAAUUUGAUUAAAUUUAAAAUUAAAAUUUAAUGAUGGUAAUGCACUGAAUACAUCAAUAUAUUUUGAUGACAUUACCGCAGCGCAGUGUUGAAUUUUGUAUUCUAUCUGGGUCAGCUAUGUAAAUCGACAACAUUAAUGAGCUUUUAUUAAAUCAUCUUAGUAAAAGCUCCACUGUCUUAACUGUUUACUUAAUUCUACAGCCAACAAAAAACAGCUGUCACCUUCUGACAGAUCUUAUUCAGAAUGAGAGUCUUCUUCUUACAGGGGGGAAAAAUUUGAUGUAAGCUGUAAUCCAACAGUGAUGUCAUAUUUAGAGUCCACAAAAUGGAUGCUGUUAUAAAAUUCAGGCCUUAUAGAUCCCACCUUGCUGUUAGAGAAACAGGAAUGAGGGGAAGAAGUUCAAGGGGAAUGCUGUGCUUCUGUCAUUUGUUUUAUAUACAGAGUGUUACUCUGCAGAGAGCACGGAAUUACUUAUAGACAUCUGCACUGACUUGGGGGAUCCAACCCCUGAGAAAAUUUUGAGCCAGACUGACAUAGCUAGGCAGCAACCCACUUCCUGCUCCUGAACAAGAAAUGUUCCCUAGGUAAGUUGAUAUAUCACUUAAUGGCUACAUAAUUAAUACAUUUUUCAACAUUGUUAAGAUAGCAUAGGUUUUUUUCCACCCCUAAACAGUAAGUUUAAACAGCAUAUUCAAAUAAAGUCUGGCACACACACACACACACACACACAAAAUAAACUCCUGUAUUCAAGAAACAAGACCAGGAGUUCCUCGU